UCACUCCUUACGGAGGCAGUCUUCGCAGAGUGCCCGGCUUUAACCGAUGGCAACUACGAACAAGGGUUGCGCUCGUUAUGGCACUUAAGCCGACACCUCACGGCACGAGCUGACGACAACCAUGCAGCACCUCCACAGCGGCCCCGAAGGGAGUCAACAUCUCUGUAUCCGUCCGCUGCAGUUCAAGCCCGGGUAAGGUUCCUCGCGUAUCAUCGAAUUAAACCACAUGUUCCUCCGCUUGUGCGGGCCCCCGUCAAUUCCUUUGAGUUUCACCGUUGCCGGCGUACUCCCCAGGUGGGAUGCUUAACGCUUUCGCUUGGCCGCUUACGUCAGACGCAAACAGCGAGCAUCCAUCGUUUACCGCGUGGACUAC
rnacentral:misc_RNA from 1 species